rnacentral:rRNA from 1 species
CCCUGCUCAGAUUGAACGCUGGCGGCAGGCCUAACACAUGCAAGUCGAGCGGCAGCACGGGUACUUGUACCUGGUGGCGAGCGGCGGACGGGUGAGUAAUGCCUAGGAAUCUGCCUGGUAGUGGGGGAUAACGCUCGGAAACGGACGCUAAUACCGCAUACGUCCUACGGGAGAAAGCAGGGGACCUUCGGGCCUUGCGCUAUCAGAUGAGCCUAGGUCGGAUUAGCUAGUUGGUGAGGUAAUGGCUCACCAAGGCGACGAUCCGUAACUGGUCUGAGAGGAUGAUCAGUCACACUGGAACUGAGACACGGUCCAGACUCCUACGGGAGGCAGCAGUGGGGAAUAUUGGACAAUGGGCGAAAGCCUGAUCCAGCCAUGCCGCGUGUGUGAAGAAGGUCUUCGGAUUGUAAAGCACUUUAAGUUGGGAGGAAGGGCAGUUACCUAAUACGUAAUUGUUUUGACGUUACCGACAGAAUAAGCACCGGCUAACU